UGUGCCAUGUGCUCCGCGCGUAAGACGUUAACAUAUCCAACGUGGAUGGCACAUCGAGAAGUUUUCGCCUAUUUUCUUCUUGCAAAUAGCAAGUGAAAAAGUGGAAAUAUGCUUCUACAAGUAAACCAUAAUUUUGAAAGGGAGUGAUGGACGGAUGGGGUUUGUCCAAGUCCAACGCCACUUUGGAAAGGCAGGCGUUGCUGUCCGAAAUGUACUUCACGGGAAAAGACCGGUCUCAAGCAGUACCUACCUACCUCCAUCGCUAGCUAACGACGACACUUUUCCGUUGCGAAGACCGAAGCAACUAGUCAACUCUGCAAUUCUCAACAAAGACCAACAUUCUUGGGGAUGAGUACUAUUCACCAUCACCACUUCGAAUUCGGCGCUGUCAUCAUCAUCAUUCCGGUCCAUCCAUCAUCGAGGUCUAAGGUAGCUACUAGUAGUCAAUCAAAGGGCCUAAUGGUGUUUCACUACUAGUAGCUUCAAUUGAGAACAAAAUAUACGUAUCAAGUUAUUUAUUUUUUGUUAUCACUGUUACAAGAAGAUCUUUCUAAUACAAAAAAAUCUCUAGAAUAGAAUAAUAUUGUACUGCCCUAACUGCUCUUUGCUGGCAGCUGGCAUUAGUUCAUCACACGACAUAGCCUCACCCAGCAAAAAAACAAUUAAACUGUGAAA